rnacentral:snRNA from 1 species
AUAAAAUAAAAUUGUAACAAACAGAAAAGAUUCACAUGACCCCUGCACAAGGAUAAACAUGCAAAUUCAUGAUACAUUUCAUACUUUU